GCGAAGCCGAGUCAUCCUGCACGA
rnacentral:tRNA from 1 species